UACAGAGGUCUCAAGCGUUGUUCGGAUUCAUUGGGCGUAAAGGGCGCGUAGGCGGCGCAACAAGUCACUUGUGAAAUCUCCGGGCUUAACCCGGAGCGGCCAAGUGAUACUGUCGUGCUAGAGUGCGGAAGGGGCUACUGGAAUUCUCGGUGUAGCGGUGAAUGCGCAGAUAUCGGGAGGAACACCAGUAGCGAAGGCGGCUCGCUGGGCCACACCUGACGCUGGAGACGCGAAAGCUAGGGGAGCGAAACAGG
rnacentral:rRNA from 1 species